GUGAUCAGGAUUCUCUUUCAUGUAAAUGAAAAGAGAGGGAGUAGCACUUAUAAUAUAAAUGCUAAAAGAAAAAGAUGUUGUAUAAUUCCCAAAGCCAUAAUUCAAACCCACACCACUUAGUAAUGUAAAACAAUUCAAAGGAGAAAACUAACUGCCUAAUUUAUCCACAAAAUAGUGAACGAGAAACUUAGUAACACAGUAACAAACUACAAC
rnacentral:lncRNA from 1 species